UGUAUAGUACUCCCCUGUGUGAUUAUGUCAUAAUGUGCUUACCCAUUCUACUAUUGGGUCGUUUCCAGUUUCAGGCUGUUACUCUGGCUGCUCUGAACUCUCUUGAUCAUGUCUCUUGGGCCCGCCUUCAGCUUCAAAGGACCAACUAUUUCUCCGGUCUCUCGAGUUUCUCGUCUGCAGCCUCCUGUUGGCGACUCCACGGUGACCAUGCCAUUGCUGCCUCACUCCCGGAACUGAGCCCGUCGCCAGCCAGGAUGUCCUGCGCUCCCACCCGGAUCGGCCAGACCUCACAGGGCUCUCCAGAGCACAAACCAGGCGGGAGGCCGCCGCUCCACCCUCAUCGUCCUGGAACCCCGACCUGCAAGCGCGCACGUGCACGCGCGCUCCCCUGCUUCGCUUCGGCACGUUAUCAGAGGCAAAUUCAUGAUCUGUAUACUCAUCCAACACCGGGUGUGAGUUUUACUCCUUCCUCUA